UUAGGUGAUGAAAAGUGUAUCAACAUUCUACAGUGGCUAGCUACGGCGAUGUUGUCUACUACGUUAACCAUCUUUCGGGACUGAUC
rfam:Lachancea dasiensis CBS 10888 genome assembly, chromosome: G